CGAUGACCUCCCCGCCCCCCCCACCCGGAAGGGUGGCUAUUUCGUUGGGGGGCCGGGAUGGGUAAUGCCGUCCGCCAUCUUGGUGAGGUCGCUUGGGACAUUGGCGCCUACAGCCCAGUCAACCAAGAGAAAAGUGUCAGGGCCUCGCUCCGGGGUCGGGGGUUGGGGGGGAGAAGAUCAUCAAACAAAAUUAAAACAGAGAAAAAAAAUUGCGGAUCUGAAAUAAACAGACACAGAAAUUGCUGGAGAAACGGAGCAGGUCCGGCAGCAUCCGUGAAGAGAAGACAAAGUCAGUGACGCUUCACUAUCAAACCAAGAUUUAAUGUUGAAACAUCUAAGGGAAGAUUUUUGGUACUGAAACGCUUAAAGUCACGUUAGUUUGACAAUCAGGUCGGCCCCUGAGGACUGAGGGAUGGUGGAGAAGUUCCUCCUCAUCUCAGUUCUAAAGGGUUGCCCCUACACUCUGAGGAUGUGCCCCUGGGUCUUUGUCUCUCCUACUGGUGGAAGCAUCUUUUCUACAUCCACUCUAUCCAGCCUCUUAGUAUUCUGGUAAAGAUAUGCAAGUAAUCCAACUCGGGAAGAGGCCACACUGGACCUGGGGUGAGGAAAUGAGCCCGGCCAGAGACAGGUUGUUGGCUCUGCGCCAGUCCGUUAGCCGCUGCACCCCCUCUCUGUGUGCUGACGACACCCACUACAUUCAUAUCACCAGCGAACUUGAUGAUGUGAUUCAAGCUGUGCACCGCUGCACAGUCGUGUGUCAACAGGGUGGACUGAAGUGAUAUAUUUAAUAAAUGUGUUGGCCUUUUUUGAAGGAGUAACAUUUGUUGUGGAUACAGAAAACCAUUGAAGUGACUGAUGAAAGUUAUUCCAGACUCAAGAAUCAAUUUGUGUGAAUAAACAAGCAAAAUGCAAUUAGUUAUACCUGAUGUUAAUAUAGGGGUUGCAUUACCUAUAAACAAACAUCCUUACAGAUUCAUCCCAAAGAAGUUAACUCAAAUGAGGGAAGAAAUUAAGUUCAUGAUGGACAAUGAUAUUAUUGAUCGAGGGUGGAAGGGCCUGUACUACGUUGUAAUGUUCUAUGUUCAAUGAACUGCAUCGUAGGAGCUUGAUUUCAGCUAUUGAGCAAAAACCAGAUUGGUCACAAAGAUUAUUGAUCAUUGAAUUGAAGUCAAUGUGAAAAAAAAAGGCAGAUUUAUAUCUGAUUUCACAACUGGAAUAUUGUAUUGAGAAGAUUGGACAAGCAUUUUUUAUUUUACAAAAAUUGACGUGUUUAAAGGAUAUCGGCAAGUUCCAUUAAUUGGUAAUUCCAACCACAUUUCAGUUUUUAUUAACACCAGAUGAACUUUAUCAAUGUAAAGUGCACAACUCACUUGGGUAGUGCCCUGGAAAUUGAAUCUCACUAUUCCCAGUGAUAUCACAACCAUUAAAGAUUUUAUAAAGUAUACAAAGUUCUCAUAUUUACUUGACUUUCGGACCUAGAUUAAUAGAAAGCACAGACUGAGUUUCUGUACUGAACAAGAAUGAUAUUUAUUACAAGUAAUUAGACUCUAGCUACAGAUAAACAAUUAUAUCAAUCAGUAUAAAACAUGACUAAUUCAAAUCUAAUUCCCUUAAAAACACACAGACAGACAAACAGACAAGGUAAAAUAGGUUAUUUAUAAAGGAGAAACACGAGAAAAACAGUUCAAUCAUCUUUGUUCCUCAGUUCAGUUAUUGUGAAAAUCUUAUGACUUUGUGUGCUGCUGGCCAGCUGUGGCAUCAGUUGUCUUUCUCCGGAUAUUUCCACUGGUUGGUAAGAGACACAAGGUGGCUGGUUCCCUUAUAACUGCUGACUUUUUUUGUCCAAAAAUCACAGCUAACAACAACUAUUACCAGACGGAUAAACUUGAGAUAAAGUUUUCUUUAGAUUUAUAGAGUUCCCACUACAGAGAUCAGAGAUACCACGCCUGUGGUGAACUGAACUCUCUGUAACAUAUUCCCAGCUCUUCAUUGUUCAGUCACCUGAGAAUCAAUAACACAGGCAGGCAAAAGCAUCUCUGUCAUUAAUAACUGGUCACUAGUCCAUAGACUAAUCAACUUCUUGUUGCCAACAAGAGCAGCAUGUGUCCACCACCUUGGCUCAAAUUGUCUGAAAUGUACAGUUCAGUUACUGCUUGUUUUCACAACACUCGAAAUGGCUGUCAGGUUACUUGCCUAUCAGAACAUAUAGCCACCCUUUCAAACACUGGGUCAUUCUUAAUUAAGUUCACAAUUUUUCAAAAAGCACAAAAUAAAGUCACGCAAUCCUUACACCAGUCAUGCCAACUUUUUGCUAAUUGACAAACAAAGUCUUAAAAGGAUUACACAAUUGUGAGGUUUACACUGGCGAUUUGGUUGUGUUCAGCCAAACUUGGGAAGAAGUUACAACAACUACACAAACUGUUUGCUUGGAUCCAAAGCAUCACUUUGGUAAUAAAUCUGGUGAAGAGUGAAUUGACAAAACUGAAGAUGACAUAUUUGGGCCACCCUGCAGGACAAAGUCAAGCAGCACUGAGAAUAAGUAAAGUGAAUAAUGGGGAUCCUGUGAUGUAACAUAUCUGGACUUCUGGAUGGCAUUUGAUUAGGUUAAUUCACAAGGUUGGAUCAUAUGGGAUUCAGUAAUUUAUUAGUUUGGAUAGGUGACUGGCUGAUGGACAGAAAACAGAGAUUCGGGAUAGAUGAGUUUAUUUUUCUGGAUGACAAGCUGUAACUAGUGGGAUGCCACAGUAUUCAGUCCUUGGGCCCCAGCUAUUUACAACCUACAUUAACGACUUGGAUACAGUGAUAGAAGGCUCUAGAGCCAAAUUUGGGGACAGCACAGAUAUAGAUGGGAGAAAAAAUAAGAACCUUACAACGGAUAUAGAUAGGUUAGGAGACUGGGCUAAAAUGUGGCAGAUGGAGUUUAAUGUGGAUAAGUGUAAGGUCAUGCAUUUUGAUCGAAAAAAUGGGAAGGUGAUGUAUUAUCUAAACAUGGAGAGUCUUCAGAGUGUUCUGGUGCAGAGGGAUCUAGGUGUACUUGUUCAGGAGUCACAGAAAACUUGCAUGCAGAUAUAGCAGAUAAUAAAGACAGCCAAUGGAAUGUUCACUUUUACAGCUAAAGGAAUAGAAUAUAAAGGUAAGAAAAUAUUGUUGCAACUAUACAGUAUAGGUGAGACUGCACCUG